AAGUCGUAACAAGGUCUCCGUUGGUGAACCAGCGGAGGGAUCAUUACAGAGAACUGUUUCUCACACCAUGGCGAACUUACCCCCCCAGAUGACGUUCCUUCGGCGGAGCGGUCCCCGUGGCCGCGCCGCCGGAGGGCUCCAACCAAACACUGUAUUUUAUGGGUUCCUUCUGAGUAUGAUUUUCACAAUCAGUCAAAACUUUCAACAACGGAUCUCUUGGCUCUG
rnacentral:misc_RNA from 1 species